rnacentral:rRNA from 1 species
UUUGCCCAUAUUCCCAAUGCGGAGGAAAAGAAACCAACAGGGAUUGCCCUAGUAACGGCGAGUGAAGCGGCAACAGCUCAAAUUUGAAAGCUGGCUCCGGCCCGCAUUGUAAUUUGCAGAGGAUGCUUCUGGUGAGGUGCCUUCCGAGUUCCCUGGAACGGGACGCCAUAGAGGGUGAGAGCCCCGUAUGGAUGGACACCAAGCCUGUGUGAAGCUCCUUCAACGAGUCGAGUAGUUUGGGAAUGCUGCUCUAAAUGGGAGGUAAAUCUCUUCUAAAGCUAAAUACCGGCCAGAGACCGAUAGCGCACAAGUAGAGUGAUCGAAAGAUGAAAAGCACCUUGAAAAGGGGGUUAAACAGUACGUGAAAUUGUUGAAAGGGAAGCGCUUGUGACCAGACUUGCGCCGGGCAGCUCAUCAGGGGUUCUCCCCUGUGCACUCUGCCCGGCUCAGGCCAGCAUCGGUUCUCGUGGGAGGAUAAGAACGGUAGGAACGUGGCCCCCUUCCGGGGGGGUGUUAUAGCCUACCGUACGAUACUCCCGUGGGGACCGAGGUUCGCGCUCCGCAAGGAUGCUGGCGUAAUGGUCAUCAGCGACCCGUCUUGAACACCGGGACCCCAAA